UACGGGGGGGGCAAGCGUUGUUCGGAAUUACUGGGCGUAAAGGGCUCGUAGGCGGCCAACUAAGUCAGACGUGAAAUCCCUCGGCUUAACCGGGGAACUGCGUCUGAUACUGGAUGGCUUGAGAUUGGGAGAGGGAUGCGGAAUUCCAGGUGUAGCGGUGAAAUGCGUAGAGAUCGGGAGGAACACCUGUGGCGAAGGCGGCCGACUGGGCCGACCCUGACGCUGAGGCGCGAAGGCGUGGGGAGCGAACGGG
rnacentral:rRNA from 1 species